GAUGAACGCUGGCGGCAUGCCUAAUACAUGCAAGUCGAGCGAACGGACGAGACGCUUGCUUUUCUGAUGUUAGCGGCGGACGGGUGAGUAACACGUGGAUAACCUACCUCUAAGACUGGGAUAACUUCGGGAAACCAGAGCUAAUCCCGGAUAAUACUUUGAACCGCAUGGUUCAAAAGUGACAGACGGUAUUGAUGUCACUUCUAGAUGGAUCCGCGCUGCAUUAGCUAGUUGGUAAGGGAACGGCUUACCAAGGCAACGAUGCAUAGCCAACCUGAGAGGGUUAUCGGCCAAACUGGAACUGAGACACGGUCCAGACUCCUACGGGAGGCAGCAGUAGGGAAUCUUCCGCAAUGGGCGAAAGCCGGACGGAGCAACGCCGCGUGAGUGAUGAAGGUCUUCGGAUCGUAAAACUCUGUUAUUAGGGAAGAACAUAUGUGUAAGUAACUGUGCACAUCUUGACGGUACCUAAUCAGAAAGCCACGGCUAACUACGUG
rnacentral:rRNA from 1 species